rnacentral:rRNA from 1 species
GUGUCAGCCGCCGCGGUAAUACGAAGGGGGCUAGCGUUGCUCGGAAUCACUGGGCGUAAAGGGCGCGUAGGCGGUCUUUUAAGUCGGGGGUGAAAGCCUGUGGCUCAACCACAGAAUUGCCUUCGAUACUGGGAGACUUGAGUUCGGAAGAGGUUGGUGGAACUGCGAGUGUAGAGGUGAAAUUCGUAGAUAUUCGCAAGAACACCGGUGGCGAAGGCGGCCAACUGGUCCGACACUGACGCUGAGGCGCGAAAGCGUGGGGAGCAAACAGGAUUAGAAACCCGCGUAGUCC